CACUCCUGCGGGAGGCAGCAGUGGGGAAUAUUGCACAAUGGGCGCAAGCCUGAUGCAGCCAUGCCGCGUGUGUGAAGAAGGCCUUCGGGUUGUAAAGCACUUUCAGCGGGGAGGAAGGCAAUGCGGUUAAUAACCGUGUUGAUUGACGUUACCCGCAGAAGAAGCACCGGCUAACUCCGUGCCAGCAGCCGCGGUAAUACGGAGGGUGCAAGCGUUAAUCGGAAUUACUGGGCGUAAAGCGCACGCAGGCGGUCUGUCAAGUCGGAUGUGAAAUCCCCGGGCUCAACCUGGGAACUGCAUUCGAAACUGGCAGGCUUGAGUCUUGUAGAGGGGGGUAGAAUUCCAGGUGUAGCGGUGAAAUGCGUAGAGAUCUGGAGGAAUACCGGUGGCGAAGGCGGCCCCCUGGACAAAGACUGACGCUCAGGUGCGAAAGCGUGGGGAGCAAACAGGAUUAGAAACCCCGGUAGUCCC
rnacentral:rRNA from 1 species